rnacentral:rRNA from 2 species
AAGUCUGACGGAGCACGCCGCGUGAGUGAUGAAGGUUUUCGGAUCGUAAAGCUCUGUUGUUAGGGAAGAACAAGUGCCGUUCAAAUAGGGCGGCACCUUGACGGUACCUAACCAGAAAGCCACGGCUAACUACGUGCCAGCAGCCGCGGUAAUACGUAGGUGGCAAGCGUUGUCCGGAAUUAUUGGGCGUAAAGGGCUCGCAGGCGGUUUCUUAAGUCUGAUGUGAAAGCCCCCGGCUCAACCGGGGAGGGUCAUUGGAAACUGGGGAACUUGAGUGCAGAAGAGGAGAGUGGAAUUCCACGUGUAGCGGUGAAAUGCGUAGAGAUGUGGAGGAACACCAGUGGCGAAGGCGACUCUCUGGUCUGUAACUGACGCUGAGGAGCGAAAGCGUGGGGAGCGAACAGGAUUAGAUACCCUGGUAGUCCACGCCGUAAACGAUGAGUGCUAAGUGUUAGGGGGUUUCCGCCCCUUAGUGCUGCAGCUAACGCAUUAAGCACUCCGCCUGGGGAGUACGGUCGCAAGACUGAAACUCAAAGGAAUUGACGGGGGCCCGCACAAGCGGUGGAGCAUGUGGUUUAAUUCGAAGCAACGCGAAGAACCUUACCAGGUCUUGACAUCCUCUGACAAUCCUAGAGAUAGGACGUCCCCUUCGGGGGCAGAGUGACAGGUGGUGCAUGGUUGUCGUCAGCUCGUGUCGUGAGAUGUUGGGUUAAGUCCCGCAACGAGCGCAACCCUUUGAUCUUAGUUGCCAGCAUUCAGUUGGCACUCUAAGGUGACUGCCGGUGACAACCGGAAGAGGUGGGAUGACGUCAAUCAUC